UUACGGCCAUAUCACGUUGAAACAGAGGUUCCCGUAGGAUCACCGAAGUUAAACAAGGUUGAGUCUGGUCAGUAACUAGAUGGGUGACCGCUUGGGAAUAUCAGAUCCUGUA